UACGUAGGGGGCAAGCGUUGUCCGGAAUCAUUGGGCGUAAAGAGCGCGUAGGCGGCCCUGUAAGUCCGCUGUGAAAGUCAAGGGCUCAACCCUUGGAUGCCGGUGGAUACUGCAGGGCUAGAGUCCGGAAGAGGCGAGUGAAAUUCCUGGUGUAGCGGUGAAAUGCGCAGAUAUCAGGAGGAACACCGAUGGCGAAGGCAGCUCGCUGGGACGGUACUGACGCUGAGGCGCGAAAGCGUGGGGAGCAAACAGG
rnacentral:rRNA from 1 species